rnacentral:lncRNA from 1 species
AGACAUGUUGAUUUGGAUGGGUGGAUUCGGAGUGCUGAUGCUAGCUCGAGGAGCGUCAUGGGUUGCUUGUGGUCGUGAAUGACGUCAGGGAUGCGGAGUUGGAGCGCGCAUUUGAGCGACAUGGAAGAGAUGAAGUUGAAGGUGUGAUUAUAGAGGUGGGAUUGAGCUUGGAACAUCUCUUUGGCUUCAUGAGAGUGGCUGAGAUGAUGCACGGUUUUGUUGUGAACAAGUCUGGAUGAAUCGGGGGUGACUCGGUUGUGAUGGUAGAGGGAGAAAUUCCUGGUUCUGUAAAGAAGUCGCUGGUAUAACUUGAUAGACAUGGCUUUUUGCUUGCUUGAGAGGCGGGUUGACGAUUGAAUAUGGCUUUAUGCAAGAGACUAUAUAUUCUCUUGAGUGAAGCGUGUAUAAAAAAAGCUAUUAUUUGGACAUUGGUUUGACCAAUUCCAAGUACAUGCCAUAAAAAACCAAUUAAAAAUGGACCUUAUUAGUCGACUAGAAGUGAUAUGAUAGGAGGAGUUUCUAGUAAACAAACAGGAAUAGUAGCUAAGAGAUAGAGAUCAAAGAGAUGCACGAUGAGAUAGAUUCUACCAGACAGUCUUGAGGUAGAGUGGGAAAGUGAAAGCUCACCGGUUUUUGAAAGUUUUCAAGAUCAAACAACAUCGAAGGACCACGUGAUCUUGUGACUUUUCGUUAUACGUACUUUCAAAGUUCCAUGUCCUUUUUUCUUUUGGUUGCCUAAUCACAUUUUCCUAACGUUACUUUGACAAAUUUACCCGGAUAUACCUACUUUUCAAAUUGAAUAAUGAAUGACAUCCUAAUUUAAGUUUACAAUACAAGUAAAGUUAAAUGAUAUAAAUGAUUCAUAAACUUCAGCUUAAUAUAUAAUAUCAUAUUUGAACUUUUAAUUUAUUUAUUAUAAUAUCUAGAAAAACAACAUUAAAUAUUUAUGUAUCAAAAGUCCAAUAACCACAUUGAAUAAAUUUAAAGUUUUUGAAUUAUAUUGCACAUUAAGAAAAAAUUCAUAAAUCAUUUGUGUCAUUCUUUUUAAGUAAAAUAAUUUUAGACAUACAAAGACAUUUCUACUAAAUUCAUUUAUCGAGUCAUGUGACAUAGUCAUUUUCGGGUGCUUAAAUGGGCACAUUAAUAUAAGUUACUGUUACAAAAGUGCCGCAUCACUUAGUUGACAAGUCAAAGUAUCCCUACCAUUGCUUUAUUAGACGAUAACAUAUAAUAUUUUUAAUAUUGAAGAUGACUCACUUGUUAAUUGACUACUUUAAUUUGUCACAUCAUUUAACCAACCAAUAUAUCAAAAUUCCACACAAUGCUGCUUUUCAGUCAUGUAAGAACCUAAGUUUAGUAAAAUGAGAUAAAAAGUUAGGUUCUAGAGCAAGCCAUGUAGGCGUGUAAAAUGAAGGCUUCACGCAUAGGUAUCCUUUGACCAAUUAUUACCUAAAGAUAUGGGGCCCAAAAUAAGGGGUCAGGUUAGUUUAAUUCCCCGAAAAAUAUACUUUUAUUAUUAGGCCGCGUUGAAUGUAAAAUUGUUUUUACACAUUAAUCUGUAUACAGUCAUAUAAAUCUACAAACAUUAAUAAUCUGUAAGCAUAUACCAUAUAAAAUAUCAAGCAAGAUUUAGUACAAGUUCUUAGCACGUACAUAGUAGGACUCUUAAUGAAAUCACAUGCAGCGCUUGCAAAUAGGCACAAUUUCAAACCCUAAGGAAAGACUUCAAUGAGAGACCUUAAUUCAAACAUAGGAGUUAUCUUGUACCGUCUGAAACCAGCCUCCAAGAAAAGUUUUUCCCACUCUUUCUCAGUCCUCUCUCUUCCAGGGCCUACCGUCAUCAUCAGCAUAUCACAGAAAAGCUUUGUCGCAGUUGUUUGGGCAUCAUCAUCCUCGGUCUUGCCUAUCACAAUGUCCAUGAUCAUCACCUUCCCUCGCUCCUCGUUCUUCCCAGCGAUCGCUUCUUUGCAUUUUCUCAGCACCUUGACACAGUCCUCAUCGCUCCAACCGUGAAACAGCAACUAUAUCAUCAGCAGAUACAUCCAAUUACUUAAGAGAAACUAUGCAACAGAAGAAGACUUAUGGUCUCCGAAAUUGCCAUACGUAGAAGUGAGGUCCCUUCCGUAGGGUUCUUCAGAUUUAUGAGUCGGCAAAUCUUGAUUAGAUGAGAUAUGAUAGAGAAGAGAGAAAAGUGCUGCAAAAAAGUAAUUGGUGCACGCUUAUAGAUUCACGUGCUUCUAUACAGCACAGUCCUUUAAUCGAAUGGAUCACUAAUUCUUAACUCAUUUUAAAUAAGCUCAAGGCAUGCUUUGUCAAGAGGUUUAGUGAAUAUCAACUAAUUGAUGCUCUAACCAAAAAAAAAAAAAAAAACUAAUUGAUGCUUUCAGUCAACAUAUACUUCCAUUGUAGACAUGACUACAAAUUUAAUGAUGAUGUAGGUACACUUGGCUCCGAGCAAAGUAUGAGAUUUUUCGUUAGAUAAAUCGCACAAGUAUUUAUCACACAUGAGAGGAUAUUGUACUUUUAAUCUAGCAACAAGAUCAUAAGUUUCAUAUAAUCAUUUUUUUAACUUCUUGGGAACACAUGUAUGCUAUAGUUUGACAAUGAAUUGAAUCUAGCAUACAGUUUUUUUUUUUUUUUAAUAAAUCAAUGUCCUAUAUUGGGCAAUCUUUAUGAAAAUGAAAACUACGUAUCGGAGAUGCCGAAUUAGUUUCUUUCCAAAUAAUCAGAAGCAAUCAACCUAUUGUGCAAAUUAAUAUCCACAUCUAAUUUAUGACAGUAAAAUGCUAUAGUGCAUACCUUGAGCAAAACAGCAUCUGCAGAAGGGAUGGACUCAAACAUAUCACCACCAACGAACUUCACAUUCUCACUCUCUGGCAAGCUAGCAACCACGUGCGGGAGAUCAAGCACCGUGCACUUCAAACCCGGACACACGUCAGAGAUUAUCCUUGCCAUGGCUCCCGUGCCGCCUCCGACAUCCACCAAAGAAUUUAUCCCUUCAAAGGUCUCUUUGUAAUCCUUAAUUAUCAAAUUCAUCAACUGAGAAUCACCAGCCAUUGCUCUAUUGAAUGUAUUCCCAAAUUCGGGAUUCUUCCUCCCAUAGUCCCAUAUAUUGACUCCAUGCGUAGCUUCAAAAGAAUUGUUUAAUUUGUCUCUACAAUCAUCAUGGUUAUUUCCUUGAAGCCAAUCUCCAAGAAAAUGCCAAGGACUCACAAGAGCCGGAUCAAGCAUGAUCGCCACAAACGGCGAGAGCCCCUUGACCUUAUCAUUCAGAAGCAAACACGAAGGUGGUGUCAAGACUUAAGCCUUAAUUUCUUCUUCUUCUUCUCCAUUCUUGGGAACAAGCGUCUCUCCAAAAAUGCCCGAGUGAACCAAAACACGCAUGAGGCGGUAAAGACAAGUCAUUUUGGACGGGUGGAUUUGGAGCGCUGAGGCUAGCUCAAGGAGGGUCAUGGGUCGCUUGUGGUCGUGUAUGACAUCGGGGAUGCGGAGUUGGACUGCGCAUUUGAGAGACAUGGAAGAGAUGAAGUUGAAGGUGUGAUUGUAGAGGUGGGAUUGAGCUUGGAACAUCUCUUUGGCUUCUUGAGAACGACUGAG